CACCUUCCCUCAGAGUUAGGUUUCAUUUCACUGCAGACCACCACUGCAACACUUCUCCAGACUGAAAGCGAGUCAUGGCAGGACAAACUACUACUACUAUUGUGACAACCCAGCAUGUCUCCUCUGGUACCUGGACUACAGGCAUCUGUGACUGCUGUUCUGAUAUGAGCACUUGUUGUUGUGCCCUUUGUUGUUUCCCCUGUAUGCAGUGUCAGACUGUAUCUCAGUUUGGCUGGUGUUUCUGCAUGCCAUUGCUGGACUGCUGCAUGGUGGUAUCUUGCUGUCUGCGUCAGAAGAUGAGAGAGCAAUAUAACA